rnacentral:misc_RNA from 1 species
GAGUCAUCUGUGAGUAGACCAAGCACCAUGAUGAGCAUGGACGUAGCCUCGAUGUCUUCAAACAUGGAGUCGCUGAGACUCAUGGAUGAUUGCAAAGUAAAUUCUCAGAGAAUACAAGAGAUGAUUUUUGACAUGAAGAGGGAGCAAGAACAAAGUUUACAGUAUUUUUCUUCCCUGGACAGCUCCAAAUAAAGGGAUUGUUUGAAGACAGUUGUCAGGAAUAAAUGGCACCUCUCGUUGUAUGAACAAGUUUUUGUUGGGGUAGAUGCUCGUCCAAAACAACUGCUGGGACUGCGUAAUCAGAGACCGGACCUCUGAAUUUGAUGUCCACCUCUGAUUGGACUCUAAAAAAUGACCCGAGUCCAAGAACACCCAAGUCUAGGAUUUGAACCAGGGCCAUCCACACUACUGUAGUCCGGCUUGAUACCAACAGAGCUAACAGAGCCCCCGGAUUUGUUUUUCUGUGUUCCUAAAUAUAAGUUUUUGACUAAACAUAACGUGACUGAGCUUUUAAAAUGUUUUGAUGUAUUUUCAAAUUUUUCCUUGUGGAUAGUUAUCAUGUUUUACCUUUUCUCCUUCAUUUGUUUUAAUGUAUUAAUAUGUUUUCAUCUUUUAUUGAUUUUAAAAAUAAUUUUUGUUUGAAAAUUAGCUAGAAUAUAAUUUAUGCUCUUCAAAACAAAUUCCCAAAACAAUGAAAAGGAAACUUUCCCAUGAAGGACAAAAAAAUUGUGAUUGUGGAUAUAGCUGGAUAUGGUAACUGUUUUGGAUUGAUUGCUAUUGAUUAUGAAAUAUAAAGGAAAAAAAUUGUUGUUACUGUCUUGUGAUUAAAGUCUGAGAGGGCAUCAUCUUUUAUUAACCU